GAUGUGAUCGAACGUGAGAGAAGAAAGAGAUGUGAUCGACGGCAGGAGAAAGGGCUAGGCUUUCUCAGUCCUCUGCUCGCUCCUCUCAAAUGGCAACAAGCAAGGGAGUUUGGGAGCGAUGGGAGCUCACACUCUUUGAACUCUGUUCCCAUUUUACCACAACCCCACCAAUUCCUUGCCUUUUUUUUUGUCUGGAAUGGGUUGUAUCCGGUUGAAACCAAAAUACUGGGGCCAAUCUUUUCUUUGUGCAAGUCAGGUUAUGAUGAGGGCUUGAAUAUUUGACUGAGUAGGGGAAGAAAAAAUUCUUAUGCAUGUUCAAGUAUCAUUUAGUGCAUAUCUCCCCACUCCCCUCAAUGGGAUCAAAACAAGAUGUCAGGUCCCCUGAUCAACCUUGAGAAUCUUGGGGACAAAAUUGAGGGGCUGUUGUCUGAAAAUAUACUCAGUAAAGUUUCCGUUGAUUGUUAUUUCAACCUGGCCUUUCAACAUCUUCGCCAAGAUGGGCAAGUAAAUUCUAUAUAGCAAUUUGCCUUUCAAUCUGGUAUAUUUGAUAUGGGCCUCACAUUCAUGUGUAAACUUUGUAUAUGGUUGUAUUACUCAUUGGCUCACAGUUAAAUGUGAUAGCAAAAGGAUUUUCUAAGUUCAAUGUAUAAUGUUUGUUGUGAACUUUAGGUCAAUUAAUGCCUGGAUGCAAUUCGUAGCAUAUGGAUGGAGGAUGAUGCACAGGGGAUGUUCAAAGAUAGCUGUCUUCUGGAUUACACUUUAUAAUCCACAGCUUCAGCUCCUACUUUAAUGGUUGCGGUAUUUGUGAGAGACCAUUUCAAGGGACUGAGAACAAGCAGGAAGUUGCUAGCAAGUUAGUAGUGAAAAAGGAUCGCCUUCGGAAUGGGUGGAGUUAUAAAAUUGCACUGAAAUUUUUUUCUUAUCCCAUCUAGUUUGUUGAAUUGAUUGGGCAUUUCCAUGCAUCAAAGUAAUAUAUUUUGGACAAGAAUUUGUGAAUUGUUUUCGUGUAAUAUGUGUACAUGCAUAUAAAGAUAUUGAAAAUACGGUUUUUAUGUUGCU